rnacentral:rRNA from 1 species
CAGUAGCCGCGGGAAUACGAAGGGGGCUAGCGUUGCUCGGAAUGACUGGGCGUAAAGGGCGCGUAGGCGGCGAUCAAAGUCAGGCGUGAAAUUCCUGGGCUCAACCUGGGGGCUGCGCUUGAUACUUGGUUGCUUGAGUGGGGAAGAGGGUCGUGGAAUUCCCAGUGUAGAGGUGAAAUUCGUAGAUAUUGGGAAGAACACCGGUGGCGAAGGCGGCGACCUGGUCCUUGACUGACGCUGAGGCGCGAAAGCGUGGGGAGCAAACAGGAUUAGAUACCCCAGUAGUCCCUGUCUCUUAUAC